GUAGGAACAGGAGGCAGGAGGCUGGGCGGCCUGAGGCCCCUGGGGAGGUGGGUGGGAGGUGACCCAGAAUGUGACUGGACUCAGACGAGAAUCAGGUGGACUCUGGCACGAUUUGGGAAAAGGAAGGGGAAAGACACAGGUAGGUCUGCAGUUGGAAGAGACAUUGGAGGAGCUCCUCGGGAUUUCUUCCCUCCCCUCCCUCCCUCCUUCCCUUCCCCUCCCUCCCCUCCCUCCCUCCUUCCCUUCCCCUCCCUCCCCUUCCCUCCCCUCCUUCCCUUCCCCUCCUCCCCUCCCUCCCCUUCCCUCCCCUCCUCCCCUCCCCUUCCUCCCCCUCCUCCCCCUCCUCCCCUCCCCUCCUCCCCUUCCCCUCCCCUCCCCUCCCCUCUCCUCCCCUCCCCUCCCUCCCCUUCCUUCCCUCCCCCCUUUCCUCCCCUCCCUCCCCUCCCUUCCCUUCCCUCCCCUUCCCUCCCCUCCAUCCCCUCCCCUCCCCCCCUCCCCUCCCUUCCCCUCCCUCCCCUCCCUUCCCCUCCCUCCCCUCCUUCCCCUUCCCUCCCCUCCCUCCCCUUCCCUCCCCCCUUUCCUCCCCUCCCCUCCCCUCCCCUUCCCUUCCCUCCCCUCCCCUCCUCCCCUCCCCUCCUUCUCCUCCCCUCCUUCUCCUCCCCUCCCCUCCCUUCCCUCCCCUUCCUCCCCUCCCCUUCCUUUCCCUUCCCUUCCCUCCCCUUCCUUUCCCUUCCCUUCCCUCCCCUCCCUCCCCUUCCCCUCCCCUCCCCUCCUUCCCUUCCCCUCCCCUCCCCUCCCUCCCCCUCCCCUCCCCUCCCCUCCUCUCCCCCACUUUCCUUCCCUCCCCUUCCCUCCCCCACUUUCCUUCCCCUCCCCUCCCCUCCCCUUCCCUCCCCUCCCUCCCCCCUUUCCUUCCCUCCCCUCCCCUCCCUCCCCUUCCCUCCCCUCCUUCCCUUCCCCUCCCCUCCCCUUCCCUCCCCUCCUUCCCUUCCCUUCCCUCCCCUCCCCUCCCCUUCCCUCCCCUUCCCCUCCCCUUCCCCUCCUUCCCUUCCCUCCCCUCCUCCCCUCCCCUCCCCCCUUUCCUCCCCUUCCCCUUCCUCCCCUCCCUUCCCUUCCCUCCCCUUCCCCUCCCCUCCCCUCCCCUCCCCUCCCCUCCCCUCCCCUUCCUUUCCCUUCCCUUCCCUUCCCUCCCCUUCCCUUCCCCUCCCAUCGGAGUGCCCUAGAGGGCCUGUUAAAACACAGAUCCCCCUGGCGCCACCCGAAGAAUUUCUGAUUCAGGAAAUCAGGGGCAGCGGCUUUUUAAAUGUGUUUCCCCGGGAUACUGAUGCUGCCAGUCAGGUGUGUCUGGGGACCGAACUUUGA
ensembl:lncRNA